rnacentral:rRNA from 1 species
CCUACGGGCGGCUGCAGUGGGGAAUAUUGGACAAUGGGGGCAACCCUGAUCCAGCCAUGCCGCGUGUGUGAAGAAGGCCCUCGGGUUGUAAAGCACUUUCAGUGAGGAAGAACGCCUGGUGGUUAAUACCCAUCAGGAAAGACAUCACUCACAGAAGAAGCACCGGCUAACUCCGUGCCAGCAGCCGCGGUAAUACGGAGGGUGCGAGCGUUAAUCGGAAUUACUGGGCGUAAAGCGCGCGUAGGUGGCUUGAUAAGCCGGUUGUGAAAGCCCCGGGCUCAACCUGGGAACGGCAUCCGGAACUGUCAAGCUAGAGUGCAGGAGAGGAAGGUAGAAUUCCCGGUGUAGCGGUGAAAUGCGUAGAGAUCGGGAGGAAUACCAGUGGCGAAGGCGGCCUUCUGGACUGACACUGACACUGAGGUGCGAAAGCGUGGGUAGCAAACAGGCUUAGAUACCCCAGUAGUC